UUCCAGCGUGUCAAUGUUCUCAGCUAUUGAAGUACUGUUCAUGAUAUGUAUAUCAUUCAUCGCAUGCUAUGCAAUGAUUCAUACAUACAUUUUCAUUGGCUUAUUGGCUUAUCAGCUUAUGCCAUCCAUUACAUGCCAUCUUUCAAUUCAUUCAUACAUUUAUUGGCUUUACCUUUCACAGUUGAGUUCCGCUGAGAUUGAGCGUGAAAUUUCAAAUUUUGAAUUCAAAAUCAAAAUUGAAAAGGGAUUUACGUUAUUUUUCUCUCAUUCUUCUUCUUCUUCUAUUCCUCCUCUUCUAUUUUUCUUCUUCUUCGAUCUCUUUAUCAUCGGAUAGCUUUUCUGUCAUUUGGUGAUGCCGUGCCAAGAGCAUGGUGGUCACCGAUGUGGUGGUGGUGGAUACAGAGGAGGAAGCGGUGAAAGAGAGUAGAUCGAUGGAAAGAACCGAGCGGCUGCGACAAAAAGCACAUGCAGCGAGACUAGACAAGCGGAGAGCACAGCAGCGGCAGCGACAAGAACAGAGUGGUGAGAUCUAUUUAUUUCCUGUCACGGUGAAAGGGACAACAGCAGUGGUGGUAGGGUUUCGGCAGUAGAAGAGGUUGCGGCAACAGCUAUGGUGAUCAAGGAGUCUAAGGCAGCGGUGGGCCCAGUGGUCGCAGUGGAGUUCGUGGUGAUAGUUGACAUGGUGAUCGUGGAUAAGGUGGAGGAUGUGAUGAUGGUUGUGCAUGCUACAGCCAUGGUGGGCUGGGUCAAGGAUUGCAACCAGGGAGGAGGCGGAUGCCAAGGUAGGUACGACAGAGUUUGUAUCUGCGGAAGCUGCUACAACUAUGGAAAUUUUCUGGGCAUUUUGCAACAAACUGCCCAACAAGCCCUCUGAGAAAAUAAAGCAAGCAGUAGCACCAGAUCACUCUCAAGAGGCAUGCUCCCACCUCGGUUGGCGUCUUUAUCUGGUGUGAAGUCGUUGAUGCAGAAAAUCUAGAACCACACUAUUGUUGGCAGGAUUAUAAUUGUUCUUCGCCAAAAGAAUUGGUUUGGGGUGCAGGGUGUGGAAGCAACAUAAAUCCAAUGACAUGUUGAUUUCAAAGCAUCAACAUGAUAAAGAACUUGGAAAUGAACAGAUGAGGUAAAAGGUGAUUUUCUGAGCUAGCCUGGGUUCAAAUCCAACGCUUAUGAGAUAGUAUUUAAUUUCUUGCUCCCAUCUUUUACUUUUGUUUCAUCAUCUGUGUUAGCAAAAGUAGCAGUAAGAAUAUGAGAGUGGAAUUUUUUUUUUGAAAAUUCAUAUAAUUAUCUGCAAAAUUUAUUGAUGAGUUGGUGAUAUCUCUGCCAUAAGUAUCACCAAUAUAAUGCUGGCUUAGCUACUUAAUUAAUUAUUUAUCGAUUAUUUGAUAAGUAGUUGGAUAGAAGAUACAAGCACUACUUCAAUCAGAUGCAGGGAAUGGUAGUGUCAUUUGAGGUCGUGAGUGGGGAGGGGCUGCCACUCUGCAAUGGUUAGAGCGCUACUAACUUGGUACUUGAAUGUUCCCACACUAGCUAUUGCUGAAUAGUGAAUAUGAAUAUUAUUAUUUUCUGGUAUUUAUAAUUUCACUAUAUUAUUCUAUAUGAUUUUUAGUUGAAUUUGAGAAUAGUACCAUUAGUGGAAUUAAUGCUAUGAUUGAUAAAUUCACUUGACCGAUAGAGUAUUUUGGUAUUUUUCACCUUGCACACUAUAACAGGAGACAAAUUUAGAUUCUUAAAGAUGUUAGUGGAAUAAUAAAACCAUCAAGGUAAAAUGAUUCUCAUUUAUAUUCAGUUUUAUUUAAUGUGUACAACGAGGGCAAUUUAACAUUUACUUUAUGAAACUUUUUUUUGAAACAAAAAUAUUUGAAUACCGAUACAUUUUUUUUUUCUGGUGUGAAAUCUCAAGAUGACAUUCCGGGUCCUCUGGGUGCUGAGAAAACUACAUUGAUGUUUGAAUACCGAUACAUUUCUUUAAUUUUAGUCUUAGGCUUUUAGCCUUUUGAUGUUUGAUUUAUAUAACUCAAUUGCAUAAGGUAUCAUUUGUAAUAUAUUAAUUAAUACUUUCUCUUAUAUGGAUGACGGUAGUAGAUAUUUUUUAUGUUAGUUUUGUUUGUAUUUAACUUGCUAUAAGCACAAGUUCAUAUUCAGACCAAUAAUCUUAUUUCAUGAAAUUAUCUUUCUCUUUCCCACGGAUUAAUUCUUUGAUGUAUAUAGUAGAUUUUUCUGUUAUUCUUGAAUUUUCUAUAUUAUUUGUUUUAUCUAUUCUAAUCUGCUUUAGUAUAGCAUAUCAUUUUUUUUUUAUCUAUUCUCACUAUCUUAUAUAUUUGCUACAUGUCUUUGUUGCUACAAACAUUAGUUGAAUACAUAUGAUUCGGGCAUUAAUCAUUUUAUUUUCUAAAUUUGAUCUGUUUUGUUUCGUUCUGUUUUACCUUUUCUAAAUUUCUUGCAAUUUGAAUGCUACUUCAUAUCAUUGUUGGUUCUAUAUACUAGCAUAUGAGGCAGAUAUCAGAGCCUAUAACAAAGGAUUGAUAAUUGCUUUAACUCAAUAUUGUGAUUCAUGCUAAUCUUAUGGUUGAACUCUUUUGAUGUAUUAGAAUAGGAUGGAGAUUCUAACAAGUCGACAUUUGAAGUGAAUGACGAUAGUGAUGAUGGAGCUUUGUAAUUUAUUUUCAAUUCUAAAAUAGUUUCUGACAUUAGUUGUUAUUGUUUGUUAAUGAGUUUGAUUUGUUGUUAUUCUGUAGGAGGAUGAGUGAAAUAGUUGGUGUGGUGAAAGAAGAGGUCUUGGAGUGGGUGGAAAUAAUUUCACUCAUCAUCAUUUUUCACAUGAUUUAUAGCUUAGAAUAUGGUUUUCAUUUAUUUUUGCGCUCAGGCCUUGAUUGUUUGUAAAGAAUAGUAGUUUCUUACUUUUCGGAUUUGUUAUUAUGUUUUCAAUUUAUCGUCAUCAUCAUGAUGUACCUAUCCAUUCUGCGAUUCAUAUUAAUCAAAUGUAGCUUACCAUUGUUUAUUUUCAUUUUUCGAUAUUAUGAGA